AUGGCUAAAGUAAAAGAAGGCCAAUCAUUGGACACGAGAGCAGCCCUCAACAUUAAAAGCAGACCAAAAGAAUCGAAAAAUGUCGUAUCGGAAGAGUUAAGUUUACUAUUAUUGCAUCGAUUAUUUGCGGUGGGCUAUUCGUUAACCGUCUUGCCUCGCCAUCAUGUCAGCGUGAGCUCAGGUGUGGUGACUGAUUGUUAGAAAGACACCAUCGACGGAUGCAUUCUCUACGCAGACGUUUCCCACCAGCCGGACGCACUGACCCAACACAACGGACAGCAUCGUCACAGCCGAAGAUCCCCGUCAAAAAUAGCUCUUGGGUCAUGACCGGCUCCGGCUUCCGUCUUACAAUUACACCACAUUGCCUUUUUUCAUAUUCAUCGGCCUGAUGUGCAUCAGCUAUCACCUGAAGCAUCUCUUUUGCGAAAGCAUUGCUGGAGGGCAGAAAGAAUCGGACGUCAAAUCAGAUUUCUACGGAGAUGAUGGUCCGUCUGUUGGUCGUCUUGUCCGUGUUAAUGACGCUGCCUGGCCCUGGUCGUUGCUUGCAUUCUCACGCACGGCCACGAUUAUACGUGCAGUGGGUUGCGGAUUGCGUCACCUCAGCAAGGCUUGUCGCCCUGGCUGGGCAUUUCAUCGAUGCAGAUGCACGAACUGUUUGAACGACUCGAUUGCGGAUUUUCCUCGGCGCUGGAUCAUGGAUUGAAGAUCGUCAGCGAGCACGAAGACGAGGAUGAGGCAAUCAGCCAGGCCCGUAGAUCAGCGGCCAUGACUAGCACCGGUUCUAUAAUCGACAAUUCUGCGCAAGUUGCCAUGGCCACCAGUUGGUUCAAUUCUUCAUUUGGCUCGCAUUGACGGUGGCCAACUUUUGAGUUAGCCAUUCGACUCAAAGUUUCAAUGCUACCCGAAUCCGUCAGCCUGCCCGCACUGCCAACAUCUUCAACAAGGAAUAACUUUUUCGAAAAACGACUUGACGUCUCUGCCAUUUAA